GAAUAAGAGGUAUGGAUACUUGACUUUUAAUCAAGUUGUCCGGGGUUCGAAUCCCCGAUGCUUCA
rnacentral:tRNA from 1 species